rnacentral:rRNA from 1 species
GCUUACGGCCAUACCAGCCUGAAUACGCCCGAUCUCGUCUGAUGUCGGAAGCUAAGCAGGGUCGGGCCUGGUUAGUACUUGGAUGGGAGACCGCCUGGGAAUACCAGGUGCUGUAAGCU